rnacentral:tRNA from 1 species
GUCUGGAUAGUUCAGUGGUUUAGAACAGUUGCCCGAAAAGUGAAAAACUCGGGUUCGAUUCCCGGUCCAGCCA